rnacentral:lncRNA from 1 species
AUGGGGAAACUGAAACCUGGCCCAGUGCAGGGAGCAGCUGUCAGAUGCAUUAGUGGAGGGAUAGAGAAGGAACCAGCUAUGCCUGUGCCUCCACAGGUCACGUCUUCUGCUGUCACAUGCUGUGCCUGCUCCCUGUCCCUCGAAGCCUUGCAGCCCAGCAGUCACCUCGCUGAGUGGAUACCCAUGUCUGAUGAUUUUGCUCCAGGCGUACGAGCUGCACGUAUCAAAGCUGAGCCAUGUCCUUUCUCCUGCCUGUUCCUGCCUCUCCCAGCCUGGGAAUCCUGGCUGCAGGGUGUUUGCACUGCUUCCCCAGCACUGUGCAGCGAGCUGGAUUUGGGGUGCCAGCUUCAGGGUGAGGGGUACCCCGGGGCAGGUCUCUGGGGUGCAGGCUGGAAGGGCCAGCACAGACAUGGCCCUAUCUGCCAGGAGGAUGCUGGUCAUUGCUGUAAGGUCAGCUUUAAAUAAUGGGAAUAAUAAAAAUGAGGCUGCCUGGAGGAAAGGAGAGAGAGCAAACUGAAUCCUAAUGAGGUUGCUUGGACACACCAGCAUGACCAUUCACAGAAAUAAUUUAAAAAAAGAAAAAAAAGCAUCAAGUUUAGAUCAAAGUAUUUGGGACACAGAAGCCAAGGCACAAUCCCACAAGGACACCCUGGGAUAGGACAUCCCUGCUGAGAUCCCACAUCCAUGAGCUGCUCCUGUUGUGCUAGGGAAAGUUCAGGGCAACCCUUGACUACAGAUGGUGUGGGAAAAGAGCCCAAAGGAUUGAGGGAGACGCUGCUUCACUCAGGAUGGGAAUUGCUAUCUUGUCACCAGUUUUACUGCAACUGGUGCAGUGCCUGGUGUGAAGGGGCAGAACAUUUACUUUUAUGGAGGGCCAAAAUUUACCAAGUUGUAGUGACAAACACUGAAAAAGGAAGUUUUAGAAGGGAAAUUAAACAUUAAUAUUUCAGGGCUUAAGGCAAUCCUCAGUGCAAAGGCAGGAAAGUAAUUAGUGUUGUAGAUGGGGAAAUAACCAGCAUAAAUGGAAGUGGGGCGAGUGCAGGUUCAAGGGGCCGCAGGGAGGAGGAUGGGCAAGGGCUCUCCAGGAGAUAGCAAGGAAUGAGCCUGGAGGCCCUCAGGAAUCCCCCCCAGCACACCAAGCCCCAGCAGCACCAUAUUUCAGGGGGGGCUGUGCUGCAAUAACCCAGCCCUCCUCCUCCUCCUUGCCUUGGCUCUGCUGGCCACAGGCCAGGUGAAACGCUCCCCCGAGCACGGCGGGGACUGGUCCAACCCCGCACAGCUCCAAUUAUCCCUGGCUGGAGACUUUCCAGGAAUCCCAUCCCCUCUCCCUCCACCGACCCUGCCUCCCCCAGCCUCCCCCCCCCCUCAAAGCAAUUUGACUUUUAUAGUAAUAACUUCUGAACCCUGGACUGGGGCCGUGCCAAGGAAAGCAGCAGAAAACAAUGUGAUGGGCCUCGGCAGGCGCGGAAACUCCAGCGACCGAGACCAGCCCUAAAAUAACUUUUGAGUGAUGGUUAUUUAUUCUGGGAGAAAGUUCGUUCAUUCACAAUUUGGAGGGGAGAUAAAUGAGGGCGGGCUGGGGCUGCACAGCGGCAGCACGCCGUGGCUGUGGAUGCAGGGCGCCUGCAGCGCCAGGGCAGCCAGCUCACCGCGGUCCUUCUGCCCAUGUCCUGCUGGAAAACCCUUUUUAAAAAUAUUUGGGUUCAUCUGAAAGCCCCGGGCUCAGGUGGAGGAGUCCAGCUCGAGGCUGGGGGUCUGCAUGUGCCACCAGGUGCAGGGGGCUGCACUUUGUGUGUUUGUGCCUGCACGUGUUUCAGCUUCCCCAGGCACGCUGGUCAGCAUGGCUGUGCCCCAUGCCACUGCCUUGCACACCUGCACCUGAGCUCUGCACGCUGAACCAUCAUUGUCCAAUGGGCAGCAGGUGGUGCAGGCAAACCCCAGGCAGGAACAGACAGCAUCCUGCUGCCAGUUCUGUUGAGUAUCAGUGUGUGCAUGGCAGCUGUCAGCCAACAUCAGCUGGGCAAGCAACAAGUGGUGCAACCUCAGUAGUUCUGCAGCUCUGAGCUGCCACAGCUUCCCUGCAAUGCACAGGAGCUGAAGCAAAGCUUCCAGAGGAGCCUUGAGCAACCUGGGUAACCCUGGGUGCUUCUGAAUUGGGGACACUCCAAAGGAGGCAGCCAGCCAGCCUGUAGCACUGCCACGUGUCUGCUCGUGCAAGUGUUUUAUGGUCCCUGUCACCACAGGCUGGGCACUCUCAGGAUCUGGAGUGCAGCGGUGACUCUGCCAGACAAGACUCAGGGUGUCUGUGUUAUCCUUGGGGUGGAUGGCUGGGAUCCCUUGGCACAUUUGGAGAAAAAAUGCUGGGGAAACCUGGUGUCUUCCUGCUGGGUGACAGGGAUGACAGAGACCUCAGAGUGUGGCUCUGUGGGCAGUGGGGUAGGAGAGGGACAGACAGUGACAUGAAGGCCUUACCAGCUUUGUGUGUGGAUCAUCUCCAAGAAUGAUACACAUCCAAGACUACCUGCCCACGAGCAUCUCAGGAGCAAGGCACCAUGGCACAGUGACAGGGGACAGCAUUGCCAUCAUCACCUACCCUGCACAUCAGAUCUUGGAGAGCGCGCUGCUCUGGAGUGAGAGACGCUGCCACAUCCCCUCCCACCAAGAGAACAACUGCACUUGCCUGGGCCACCCCUCUCCUCCUACUGCCUCCAGGCUGGAGAACCUUGCUGAGUGCUACCAAAUAUUUUUGCUGUGGAAUGACAUGUGGACACACUGGAGUUGGGGACCUGGAGCUGCAAAAGGGGAUGAUUCAGGGCUGUCCUUUGCAGAGUGAGGAGGGCACCACUUUGUGUUUAGCAGCACAGUCACUCUGGCACUGGAGAAGCUGUCCCCCGGCCGCCCUUGCGUGGGGACAGCAGGGUAGAUGCGGGUCACACACGGGGCAGGAGCAGCCCCUGGCCACGCUGGCCAGCACACACAGCUUCCUCCAUGGCACAGUGCCUGCAAUGGGUGAGACUGGCCCUGCUGGGCCGCAUCCCUCAUCCUGCCAGGCAGGAAAGGCUCCAGCCCCUCGCUCCUCCUUGCCUCUCCACAUCCCCUGCCCUCUGCCCCGCCACCGCUGCGGACAGCCCCGUGCUUGCCAGAUGAUUUCCAGCCUCGCUGCUCUUCGGGCUGUCUGAGCAGCUCGUGAUCUUGGCAGGCAGCUCAGAGCCCUACCAGUUAUCAUUACAAUGAUUAUUUGUGUCUUCCCAGCUCAAAAGGGCUUUCCUCUUACCUCGUCCCUGGCUGGCCUCAAGCCAGGUGGGACUGUGGAUGGAGAAAGAGGAGAGGGCAGCAUCCUGCACUGUCAGAGCAGGGGACUGCAGUGGCAUGCAGGAGAUGGGACAGAGGGGAGGACAGAUAUUGUUCCUCCUCCUGAAUGCUCAGAUUGGAAAUCAACACCCUCUUGGUUAAUUCAUUAGCUUUGAUUAGAAGCUCUGAAGCUCGGACCAGCUAAUGGGCUCCCUCCCUCUGGUUAAUCUCCAAGAGGAGUUCAGCAAGGUUACCUGAACCAGGAACGGUGAGGGAAGGAUGGGGAUGAGUGCAAUUGAAUUAGGAAGCUAUUAAAUUAAGAAGUCAAACUGAGCCAAAACACAGCCAUUGCAAAAUGUUCCCAUGGCUAAAACAUGGGGGAGAGCAUUAUUAAAGCACAGGGCAGAGCGCAGCACUGUGUUUGCACUCAUCUGGGUCGGGGCUGGGGGCUGGAGCAGCAGGUCCCUGUGGGCACCAGCCCAGCCUGGGGCUUGGGGUCGUGUUUGCCAGCUCCAUCCCAUGCAGAUCCCUUCACCAAUACCUUAAUCUCCCUAGGUGGGCUGCAUCUUCCUCCAAGUGGAGGUUCCUCUGCAGCCUGGAUUUUGUUGUUGAUUAAAUUAGCUCAGCAGUAACCUAUUUGUGAUGAUGAUGUGAGGUAGCAACCUUCAGUGUUUCUAUUAAAAUAUACAUGUAUAUAUUUGUUUUCUGCGGUUAUGAAUGUAAUUCCACAAUCCACUGAGGAGCCGGUAAUUUUCUGGCUGAGGUGGGAAGUUGCUGACAUCUUGUGAUACAUGACAAGAUUGAUUGUAUUUGCU